GACGAACGCUGGCGGCGUGCUUAACACAUGCAAGUCGAACGGAAAGGCCCUGCUCUUGUGGGGUGCUCGAGUGGCGAACGGGUGAGUAACACGUGAGUAACCUGCCCUUGACUUUGGGAUAACUUCAGGAAACUGGGGCUAAUACCGGAUAGGAGCUCCUGCUGCAUGGUGGGGGUUGGAAAGUUUCGGCGGUUGGGGAUGGACUCGCGGGUUAUCAGCUUGUGGGUGGGGUAGUGGCUUACCAAGGCUUUGACGGGUAGCCGGCCUGAGAGGGUGACCGGCCACAUUGGGACUGAGAGACGGCCCAGACUCGUACGGGAGGCAGCAGUGGGGAGUAUUGCACAAUGGGCGGAAGCCUGAUGCGGCGGCGCCGCGUGCGGGAUGACGGCCUUCGGGUUGUAAACCGCUUUCGCCUGUGACGAAGCGUGAGUGACGGUAAUGGGUAAAGAAGCACCGGCUAACUACGUG
rnacentral:rRNA from 1 species